UUUCCGGUUGAUCCUGCCGGACCCUACUGCUAUCGGGGUGGACUAAGACAUGCGAGUCGUGCGUCUCUAGGCUAUGGUAGAGACGCGGCGUACGGCUCAGUAACACGUGGCUAAUCUACCCUUGGGACGGGGACAACCCCGGGAAACUGGGGCUAAUACCCGAUGGGUGAGGAGGCCUGGAAUGGUUCUCCACCGAAAAGACGCUGAAACCAUGCUUUUCAACGUUGCCUAAGGAUGGGGCCGCGUCCGAUCAGGUUGUUGGUGGGGUAACGGCUCACCAAGCCUAUAACCGGUUCGGGCCGUGAGAGCGGGAGCCCGGAGAUGGGCACUGAGACAAGGGCCCAGGCCCUACGGGGCGCAGCAGUCGCGAAAACUCCGCAAUGCGCGAAAGCGUGACGGGGCUACCCCGAGUGUCGUCCGCUGAGGAUGACUUUUCCCCGGUGUAAGGAGCCGGGGGAAUAAGGAGAGGGCAAGUCUGGUGUCAGCCGCCGCGGUAAUACCAGCUCUCCGAGUGGUAGGGACAAUUAUUGGGCUUAAAGCGUCCGUAGCCGGCCCGGCAAGUCUCCCGUUAAAUCCAGCGACCUAAUCGUUGGGCUGCAGGAGAUACUGUUGGGCUAGGAGGCGGGAGAGGCCGACGGUAUUCUCGGGGUAGGGGUGAAAUCCUAUAAUCCCGGGAGGACCACCAGUGGCGAAGGCUGUCGGCUAGAACGCGCUCGACGGUGAGGGACGAAAGCUGGGGGAGCGAACCGGAUUAGAUACCCGGGUAGUCCCAGCUGUAAACGAUGCGGGCUAGGUGUUGGGGUGGCUACGAGCCACUUCGGUGCCGCAGGGAAGCCAUUAAGCCCGCCGCCUGGGGAGUACGGCCGCAAGGCUGAAACUUAAAGGAAUUGGCGGGGGAGCACCACAAGGCGUGAAGCUUGCGGUUUAAUUGGAGUCAACGCCGGA
rnacentral:rRNA from 1 species